rnacentral:rRNA from 1 species
GGACCCGCACAAGCAGUGGAGCAUGUGGUUUAAUUCGAAGAUACGCGCAGAACCUUACCAACGCUUGACAUGUUCGUCGCGAGACUAAGAGAUUAGUCUCUUCAGUUCGGCUGGCUCCAACACAGGUGCUGCAUGGCUGUCGUCAGCUCGUGUCGUGAGAUGUUGGGUUAAGUCCCGCAACGAGCGCAACCCUCAUCUUUAGUUGCCAGCAGUUCGGCUGGGCACUCUAUGGAAACUGCCCGUGAUAACGGGAGGAAGUGUGGAUGACGUCAAGUCCUCAUGGCCCUUACGGGUUGGGCUACACACGUGCUACAAUGGUAGUGACAAUGGGUUAAUCCCAAAAGCUAUCUCA